rnacentral:tRNA from 1 species
AGUUAAUAAGCUUAUGCAAGCGUAUGUUUUGAAAACAUAAGACAGAAGAUUGAAUCUUCUAUUAACUU